rnacentral:rRNA from 1 species
GACGAACGCUGGCGGCGUGCCUAAUACAUGCAAGUCGAGCGAAGUUUUUCUGGUGCUUGCACUAGAAAAACUUAGCGGCGAACGGGUGAGUAACACGUAAAGAACCUGCCUCAUAGACUGGGACAACUAUUGGAAACGAUAGCUAAUACCGGAUAACAGUAUUUCUCGCAUGAGAGAUAUUUAAAAGUUGGUUAUGCUAACACUAUGAGAUGGCUUUGCGGUGCAUUAGCUAGUUGGUGGGGUAAAGGCCCACCAAGGCGACGAUGCAUAGCCGACCUGAGAGGGUGAUAGGCCACACUGGGACUGAGACACGGCCCAGACUCCUACGGGAGGCAGCAGUAGGGAAUCUUCCGCAAUGGGCGAAAGCCUGACGGAGCAACGCCGCGUGAGUGAAGAAGGAUUUCGGUUCGUAAAGCUCUGUUGUUAGGGAAGAAUGGAUAUGUAGUAACUAUACAUGUAAGAGACGGUACCUAACCAGAAAGCCACGGCUAACUACGUG